AAGAAAGUAAGCAAGGGCGCAUGGCGGAUGCCUUGGCUCUCGGAGGCGAUGAAGGACGUGAUAAGCUGCGAUAAGCUUCGGGUAGGUGCAAAUAACCUUUGAUCCGAAGAUUUCCGAAUGGGACAACCCGUCAUUCUGAAGGAAUGACAUCUUGCAUAGCAAGAGGCUAACGCAGGGAACUGAAACAUCUUAGUACCUGUAGGAAAAGAAAAUAAUAAUGAUUCCCCAAGUAGUGGCGAGCGAACGGGGAUUAGCCCAAACCAAUGUUGUUACGGCAAUAUUGGGGUUGUAGGACCACGAUGUCGCAAGAACUUUAGUGAGAAGAAUUCUUUGGAAAAUGAAACCAUAGACGGUGAUAGUCCGGUAUUCGAAGCUAAACGAAGCGUAGUGGUAUCCUGAGUAGCGCGGGACACGAGGAAUCUUGCGUGAAUCUGCCGGGACCAUCCGGUAAGGCUAAAUACUCCCGAGAGACCGAUAGCGAACCAGUACUGUGAAGGAAAGGUGAAAAGCACUUCGAAUAGAAGAGUGAAAUAGUCCCUGAAACCGUGCGCCUACAAGCGGUCGGAGCAGCGUAAGCUGUGACGGCGUGCCUUUUGCAUAAUGAACCUACGAGUUACUUUUUCCGGCAAGGUUAAGCAUUUCAAAAUGUGUAGCCGAAGCGAAAGCGAGUCUGAACAGGGCGAUUAGUCGGAAGGAGUAGACGCGAAACCAAGUGAUCUACCCUUGGUCAGGUUGAAGGUUAGGUAACACUAACUGGAGGACCGAACCGAUAAGCGUUGAAAAGCUUCCGGAUGAACUGAGGGUGGGGGUGAAAGGCUAAUCAAACUUGGAGAUAGCUCGUACUCCCCGAAAUGCAUUUAGGUGCAGCCUUGGGAAUUACUACUGUGAGGUAGAGCGACUGAUAAGAUGCGAGGGCUUCACCGCCUAUCAAGUCUUGAUAAACUCCGAAUGCGCAGUAGUUCGAUCCCAGGAGUGAGGGCAUGGGUGCUAAGGUCCAUGUCCUAAAGGAGAAGAAUCCGGACCAUCAGCUAAGGUCCCGAAAUAAUUGCUAAGUUGAACUAACGAAGUCAGAUUGCUAAGACAGCUAGGAUGUUGGCUUGGAAGCAGCCAUUCAUUUAAAGAGUGCGUAACAGCUCACUAGUCGAGGAGUUUGGCGUGGAUAAUAAUCGGGCAUUAAGCAAUUUACCGAAGCUAUGGGAUCAGUAAUGAUCGGUAGGGGAGCAUUCCACUCUGCGUCGAAGGUGAAGCGUGAGCUUUGCUGGAGCGUGUGGAAAAGCAAAUGUAGGUAUAAGUAACGAUAAAGGGGGUGAGAAACCCCCUCGCCGAAAGACUAAGGUUUCCUGAUCAACGCUAAUCGGAUCAGGGUUAGUCGGGUCCUAAGGCUCAGCCGAACGGUGAGGCCGAUGGCAGAACAGGUUAAUAUUCCUGUACUACCUUAAGGAGUGACGUGGAGACGGAGCAGUGAUAGCGCCGCGGACUGACGGAAUAGUCCGUUGAAGGGUGUAGAUGUUGAUCUUUGCAGGCAAAUCCACAAAGAGAGUCGAACCUGAUAGUAUACCAAAUUCUUCGGAAUAAGGUAAUAGUGCGUGUAAGCAUACUCCCAAGAAAAUCCGCUAAACUUAAUCUUUAAGGUACCCGUACCGCAAACGGACACACGUAGUCGGGUUGAAUAUACUAAGGCGCUUGAGUGAUUCACGGUUAAGGAACUAGGCAAAUUGACCCUGUAACUUCGGGAUAAAGGGUCCCAACGAGAGUUGGGCGCAGAGAAUAGGUCCAGGCAACUGUUUAACAAAAACACAGGGCUGUGCCAAAUUGAAAGAUUACGUAUACAGCCUGACACCUGCCCGGUGCUGGAAGGUUAAGAGGAGAUGUCAUCGCAAGAGAAGCAUUGAAUUGAAGCCCCAGUAAACGGCGGCCGUAACUAUAACGGUCCUAAGGUAGCGAAAUUCCUUGUCGGGUAAGUUCCGACCUGCACGAAUGGUGUAAUGAUCUGGACACUGUCUCAACCGUGAGCUCAGUGAAAUUGUAGUAUCGGUGAAGAUGCCGAUUACCCGCGAUGGGACGAAAAGACCCCGUGAACCUUUACUAUAGCUUAACAUUGAAUUUGGGUAAUUGAUGUGUAGGAUAGGCCGGAGACUUCGAAGCAGGUACGCCAGUAUUUGUGGAGUCGCUGUUGAAAUACGGCCCUUUGAUUAUUUGAGUUCUAACUCGUAGUUGCGAGGACACUGUUUGGUGGGUAGUUUGACUGGGGUGGUCGCCUCCAAAAGUGUAACGGAGGCUUCUAAAAGGUGCCCUCAGGACGAUUGGUAACCGUCCGUAGAGUGUAAUGGCAUAAGGGCGCUUGACUGGGAGACAGACAAGUCGAUCAGGUAGGAAACUAGAGCAUAGUGAUCCGGUGUUUCCGCAUGGAAGGGACAUCGCUCAAAGGAUAAAAGGUACUCCGGGGAUAACAGGCUGAUCCCUCCCAAGAGCUCAUAUCGACGGAGGGGUUUGGCACCUCGAUGUCGGCUCGUCACAUCCUGGGGCUGGAGAAGGUCCCAAGGGUUGGGCUGUUCGCCCAUUAAAGUGGCACGCGAGCUGGGUUCAGAACGUCGUGAGACAGUUCGGUCUCUAUCUAUCGUGGGCGUAUGAAAUUUGCGUGGCUCUGACACUAGUACGAGAGGACCGUGUUGGACUGACCGCUGGUUUACCAGUUGUGCCGCCAGGUGCAUCGCUGGGUAUCUAAGUCGGGAUUGGAUAAGUGCUGAAAGCAUCUAAGUACGAAGCCAGCCACAAGAUUAGAUUUCUUAGGGUCGUUAAAGACGAUGACGUUGAUAGGAUGCAGGUGUAAAGGUGGUAACAUCAAAGCCGAGCAUUACUAAUUGCCCGUUCACUUUCUUUC
rnacentral:rRNA from 1 species